UACGGAGGGUGCAAGCGUUGCUCGGAAUUAUUGGGCGUAAAGCGCACGCAGGCGGCUUGGUAAGUCAGUUGUGAAACUCCUGGGCUCAACUUGGGAACUGCGGCUGAUACUGCCAUGCUUGAGUACGGAAGAGGGGAGUGGAAUUCCCAGUGUAGAGGUGAAAUUCGUAGAUAUUGGGAGGAACACCGGUGGCGAAGGCGGCAC
rnacentral:rRNA from 1 species